AUGACACGCUCUGGAAUGUCAGCACAGGCCAGGGGACAGCCUGAGGCUUGGCUGAAGUGUGGGGCUGGGCACAGUCCCUUUCCUCAGGCCGCUGGAGGAGGGAUGCCCCCCAGGAGAGGACUAUGCAAGGCGCCGAGGAGGGCGGCUGCCUUGCCUGUUGCUGGAACCUUUGCUUCCUCCUGCUCUUCCUGCUGGCCUGCUGCUUUCUCAAGCUCUGGAAUGCCCAAUUCCAGGCACUUCCUGCAUGGAGAGACUCACCCCGGCCCCCUUCCCAAGGUAAGGUCCAUUGGAGGGUCUGGCUGGGCCCUGACCGGGCAGAGAGAGUGGCCAGCACCGGCAUGGCUUGGCUUUCUUUCGGGCCCCCAAAGAUCACAGGCUGCCUUUCAAGGGGUCUCUUGGCCCCUGGACGGCUCUGGGGUCCCCAACCUGCAGGCUCCUCUGAGUCUCUGUCCUGGUGGAAGCAGGAGGGGGGAUCAGCUGGGGCACGGCGACCCCCGCGCCCCUGCUCUGCAGCAAAGAAGGGAGGUAGGUCAGCAGGCCGGGAAGUCGAGGGGUUGGCUUCUUACUUGGGGGAGGAAGGGAGACAGCUCAGCACCCUUGCUUUCUCUUUGCAGGCCAGAAAGAAAGAGCAUCCAAGGGGCGGCCAGACUCUCCGAGGAGCCGACGACGCCGUUCCAUCCGCCGGCUGCUGUGCGACGACCCAAGCUGCUCCUUGUGCCAGCAGGUGGCCGAGGAGGCGGCCGAACUGGCUUACCCCAGAGGGCCGGGCCUUGGGGGGCCCCUGACCCGGGCCAGUCAGAGGGAAAGCACCCACAGCUCCGUGUCCAGCACCCUGGACUCCUCGUUCAGCAGCUGGACACAGGGCAGCAUCUCCUCCUCUGGGUGCUCAGUGUCGCUGCGGAGCAUCUUCUCCUGGUCUCUGCAGGUGGAGAGCGAAGAGAUCUCGUCCUUCAGCGAGAGUACCCGGCAAUCCCAGGCCACAAGAAAGGGCGCACACAGGAAGAGCCGAGAGGGUGGCUGUCGGCACUGCCGCCGGCGCCACCGGAGGAAGGGGCGGGCUCC
rnacentral:lncRNA from 1 species